UACGGAGGAUGCAAGCGUUAUCCGGAAUUAUUGGGCGUAAAGCGUCCGUAGGUGGCUGGUCAAGUCUGCUGUCAAAGCGUGGAGCUCAACUCCAUAUCGGCGGUGGAAACUGACGAGCUAGAGUGCGAUAGGGGUAGCAGGAAUUCCCAGUGUAGCGGUGAAAUGUGUAGAGAUUGGGAAGAACACCAGCGGCGAAAGCGUGCUACUGGGUCUGCACUGACACUGAGGGACGAAAGCUAGGGGAGCGAAAGGG
rnacentral:rRNA from 1 species